rnacentral:rRNA from 1 species
UACAGAGGUCCCGAGCGUUGUUCGGAUUCACUGGGCGUAAAGGGUGCGUAGGUGGCAUGGUAAGUUUGAUGUGAAAGCUCAGGGCUUAACCCUGAAAUGGCAUUGAAUACUACUGUGCUGGAGGUUUGGAGGGGGGACUGGAAUUCUUGGUGUAGCAGUGAAAUGCGUAGAUAUCAGGAGGAACACCGGUGGCGAAGGCGGGUCUCUGGGCCGAUACUGACGCUGAGGAGCGAAAGCGUGGGGAGCGAACAGG